UCAGACGAAGUUAGAUUUGGGCAGGCAUGCCCCUAACUUCCGGCGCCUAAUAAAGCACCUUCAUAUAAUCACUUUGUGGAUUAUGUGUUUUCAUGAACGCUAACAACCUCACCUCCCUUAACAAGACAAGAUUAGAAGUUAGCAUGUACCUUUUUGCAGAAAGCUAACCAAGCAUGUUCUGAAUUUAGGAGUGCAGCAGGAUUGCUGAGGUGCUAGCUCAUGCGCUAAGCAGCAAGCCUCCCGAAUUGGGCCUACAUAGCAAAGAUGUUUUAUCUUCCUGGCUUCCUAUCACGUAUUAUUUGCAUUCGUUUGAGGCAAGCAAAAAAUGAUACACGUUGAUGUUACAAAUGCUAACAUUAUUUAAUGCAGUCUGUGUUUUGAACAGUCUUUACAAUAAUCACAUACCACUGCCUAUCCAAUAGAGCAAUUGCUGUUUAUAACUGAAAAAGGUUAACACUUUGGAAUUAGAUGAUCAUUGAGAUCCCUUCCAACCCAAGCCAUUCUAUGAUUCUAUGAUAUGGUCCUUCAUGGGCUGCAGAACGGAUAUCUGCUCUGAUAUGGUCCUCCAUGGGCUGCAGGGGAAUAGCCUCCUUCACCAUGGGCCUCUCCACAGGCUUCAGGGGAAUCUGCUGUGGUGCCUGGAGCACUUCCUCCCCCUGCCUUUCUCUUUCACCGACCCUGAUGUCUGCAGGGUUAUUUCUCUCAUUUUCUCACUCCUCUCUCUCACAGCUGUUCUAACACGUUCUUAAAUACACUAAUGCAGAGGCUCAACCAGUAUCACCCAUUGGCUUAGCUGUGGCAGGUCCCUCCCGGAGCUGACAGGAACUGGCUGUGUCCAACAUGGGGGCAACUCCUGUUCCCUUCUCACAGAUGCCACCCCUGCAGCCCUGCAUGAGUGUCCCCUAUGUGCCUGCACUAGCGACCUUCUAUACCAACCGAAGAAGAGGAAGGGAAUAUCUAUGUUCAGAAGUUUUGAAAACUUCCACCUCUGUGGUAUGGAAGACUCUAGAAACAUCACACAAAUCCAAUUUAAGAGAGCUGAAAUUGUAUUGGGAACUUCUGGCAUACAGUGACAGGUAG
rnacentral:lncRNA from 1 species